GCCCAAGUGGCGGAAUGGUAGACGCAGGGGAUUCAAAAUCCCCCGGUGGCGACACCGUGUGGGUUCGAAUCCCACCUUGGGCACCA
rnacentral:tRNA from 1 species